rnacentral:rRNA from 1 species
AGUUUGAUCCUGGCUCAGAACGAACGCUGGCGGCAUGCCUAACACAUGCAAGUCGAACGAGACCUUCGGGUCUAGUGGCGCACGGGUGCGUAACGCGUGGGAACCUGCCUUUAGGUUCGGAAUAACUCAGAGAAAUUUGAGCUAAUACCGGAUAAUGUCUUCGGACCAAAGAUUUAUCGCCUUUAGAUGGGCCCGCGUAAGAUUAGCUAGUUGGUGGGGUAAAGGCCUACCAAGGCGACGAUCUUUAGCUGGUCUGAGAGGAUGAUCAGCCACACUGGGACUGAGACACGGCCCAGACUCCUACGGGAGGCAGCAGUGGGGAAUAUUGGACAAUGGGCGAAAGCCUGAUCCAGCAAUGCCGCGUGAGUGAUGAAGGCCUUAGGGUUGUAAAGCUCUUUACCCGAGAUGAUAAUGACAGUAUCGGGAGAAUAAGCUCCGGCUAACUCCGUG